CGACCGAGGCGGGGAAAGAAGGAAGAGGCGAAACCGAGACCUUACGAACAGGAACCUGUUAUCAGGCUUCGCGGGUGGGAAAGGUGGCAAAAGGCACCGCAUCCCAUUGGGAAAACCGCACGGAGUAAAGCAGGGAGGCGCUUGGGGAAAGGAA
rnacentral:ncRNA from 1 species